rnacentral:lncRNA from 1 species
CUGUCUUCGUCAAACUCUCCAAACCUUAACCCCUCUCGUUUCGCCCAACCGGCCAGCCGCGAACCCUGGUCCGUUCCGUGCCUUGAUCGGUGUCCCGCGUGCUUCGCCGUGGACGCGGGGCAGGUGGCCUCUGGCCGUUACGGCUCCCGCCGCAGGCCCGGCCCUGGGACAGGGCGAGCGGGGCGGCCGCCCAGGACCCCGCGGCUGGAAAGGUUACUCCUAAACAAUAUACGCAGAUCAUUAAACACAUAUAUGUAGCUGUUCGGAUAUUGCUGCUAUUUAGUACUACAACUAACAACACGAAUUAUUCUCGUAACUGGUUAUCUGCUCCGUCCUUCACUGGUGACAUGGGCUAUGAGCCCAAGACUAUCAAUCGACUAUUCUGGUUCGUUGACACUCAUAGCCCGCACGCGGACAUAGGGCAAUGCUAAGAAUUGAAGCUAAUGUGAUAAUAGAAUUUUUUCAAAAGCAAAGUGUAAAUAAAGAUAUUAAUUCAUUCGGGAUAGCAUAACAAUUGCGUGAAAGAUAUUAGAGAAAUGAGCCAAAUAAAAAUAGGAAAAUGUCCAUUUACUUUGUCCACUGAACCCCUAAGCAAAAUUUAGGCUCACUUUACUCCCCCGAGCUAUUUCAUUGGUCCAAUCUACCCCUAAUUAGAUUUUCUCUUUUUUAUUUCUUCACGUACAAGUUGAGUUUUAAUUUCAGAUUUUUACCAAUUGACUUAUAACAUGAUGCUCUACAUUAUAAAAAUACAUUAGCAAUUUUUUAGAUUACUUUUUGUACAGUUUUAUAUAUCUAAGAUCAAUUUUGUAUUAAAUAUUCUUAACCUAUGAAAAUAACUAUGAAAAUUCUUAGUAUAAUUUUUAACAUAAGGCAUCAUAUUUUCUAUCUCCU